GGACCGCUAGUUCAAUUGGAUAGAAUACCUGAUUACGAAUCAGGGGGUUGCAGAUUCGAGUUCUGCGCGGUCCACCA
rnacentral:tRNA from 1 species